GCCCAGUUAGCUCAGAGGUAGAGCACGUUCUUGGUAAGAACGGGGUCGGCGGUUCAAUUCCGCCACUGGGCUCCA
rnacentral:tRNA from 1 species